ACAAGUAACUGUAGUACCAGCAGACAUGUACAACCUACUGUAGUGCCAGCAGACAUGUACAAGUAACUGUAGUGCCAGCAGACUUGUACAAGUAACUGUAGUACCAGCAGACAUGUACAAGUAACUGUAGUGCCAGCAGACAUGUACAAGUAACUAGUGCCAGCAGACAUGUACAAGUAACUGUAGUACCAGCAGACAUGUACAAGUAACUGUAGUGCCAGCAGACAUGUACAAGUAACUGUAGUGCCAGCAGACAUGUACAAAUCAUUGUAGUGGUUUCUGGAUUGAUGAGCUCCUCCUCAUUGACAACCUCCAAAACCAACUUGAUUCUAAACUACUUGUAAUGGAUUUCAAGGGAGACAACUCAAAAUUUGAAAUCGGUAACAAUGUCUGUUAAUGGUAGAACAAUUAAAUUAUGAACAACUAACAAAAUCUAAACACUAAAAAUAUUCAUAUUUUCUACCAUUCACUGCUUUUAAGAAAAAAAGUAGCUUAAAAAUCUUGACUAUUAUUCUUAUUAAGUUUUAGUAGAACUUAAAUCCAUAAAGAAAGACUGCGAUUCAGUGCUCAAGACUUUUAGAUUUGUUAUUUUAUUUACUGUUUAAGGCUAUCUUUUGCUUGUUAAGUUUGUUCUUAUGAAGGAUAUGAGAUUUUAAGUUAAGUUUACAAAUUGAUUUUAGCUUGUUUUCAUUUGUAAAUGGCAAAUCACAUUUUUAGAAAGCUUUUAUGAUAUUUCAUUCAAAUUUUGUUAUUGUAUGCAGUAAUUUUUUUUAAAAGAAACUGAAAGUUUUAUAUGAAAGACAAAGAUUUAUUUUUUCAGUUGAAUUAAAUUAAGUUGACUAUGUUUUACCAGUAGAAUGAUAUUUGUUAUUCAGAGAUCUGUAAAACCUUUAAAACUGAUUUGGAAAGAACAAAAUAAUUGAAAGCUUUUUUAUGACAUUGAAUUAGAAGACAGUGUUGUUAUAUAGUGGUAAUCAUAUUGUGAUAUUUAUAGAUAUUUUCUGUAAAAGAUGUUGUCAUGGUUACCUGUUUUUCAUUGUCAUGGUAACAAUCACCUUUUAAGUUGUAACAGUUAUAUGUAUUUUAUUUGAUGGAGUGGUUACAAUAUAAUUUUGUUAAAAUUUAAAAAAAAGUUUUAUUUUAAAGUUUUGAUAUUGUAAUAGGAACUGUGAUUACAAACAAAUUUUGAUAACUAGAACUCACCCAAUACAUUGUUUUAAAACAAUUUCUUUAGAACCUGUAUUGAAUACUUAAUAUUUAGAACACAACUGAAUUUAGAACAGAUAUUGAUAGUCCCAUGGGUGUUCAAGAAAUCAAAAUAUCAAAGUAAUUGCUUAAACAUAAUCAAGGUCUUUUGGUACAUGGUAUGCUUAUGGUCUGGGAUUUUAUGUUAAUGGGAGGGAACUCAAUAAAAAUCAAUUUGCUUGAAAUUUAUAAUAAACUCUUUUAAGUUAUCAGUUUUAUUUCUUGCAGCUUAGAAAAUUAAAUUAAUAUAUAAAAAAAAUAUUUUUAAUAAUUUGGAUCACAUCAGAAUUGUGCAUUUCUUUGCAGCAUAUUAUGCUCAUUUAUUUCAUCCACAUCAUAAAAGAGAAUAAAUUCAAAUCCCUGAAUAUAAAAUCAACAAACCAUCUGCAUACACAUGUACCAUUUAAAGACUUGCACAAAUCAACGAUUGUAAAGUAAUGAUUUAUGAACUUGUUUAUAUACUAUAAUUGUUAUAAUACUUAUGGAAUGACUUAUGUUUUGUCAUCUUGUAUAUCAGAUUAUUAAGUCUAAAAAAUUAUUGAAUAGUUUCAUCUUAAUUUCUGUAAGACCUAUUUUGUAAUCUAGCUGUUGGGCUAGAAAUAUCUUUUUCAUGGUAUAACUCCAUUGAUAUGACCUGGCAUAGGUUUACUGACUGCUUUGUAAUUGAGGGACAUUCUGUUCAGGGAAAAGUAACAUGUGUAACUGCUUUCUCAUUGUAUAAUAAAUAUCUCCAUCCAAACACAUUACUGAUUAUUACCGGACAUUAAAUAAUCGUGAUAUUUCUUAAGUAGAAUGUUUCUCAGUUACUUACCUAUUUUUUUCUAUGUCAAAAUCAGGUAGAAUAAGUAAUAGACAUUUCCUUGACAAAAGCUUAAGUUAUCUCCCUUUUUGUUUAUUGAUGUAAUCAUUACAAAUCAGGGAACUGUACAUAUAUUUGUCAUUUACAAAGAAAAGUUGCCUUAAUCUGGGACAUGAUAUGUUAGCUCUACCCAGCCUUAAUUAACAGUUUAUUUAAAUACCAUUUUAAAAUUUGAAGACAACAUAAACAUAGUUUGGUUAUAGAUGCAAAAUUAGGUCUCAUGGUGAACUUUUUAUCGAAUAUUUUUUCACAAGGCUUUCAUUGAAAUACUGUUAUUCUUUGAUGAUGAAAGUCAAGUGGUAGAAUAUUAUAUCCACUGAUAUGUGGUUUUUCAGUGCUACAGGAAUAAUUAUUCUAAAACGCAUAGAAAUUUUCCCCUGUGUGCUGUUAUUGGUUUGAGGUUGUAUCAAUAAAACAUAUGAUUAACCUUUACUUUAAGUGCCUUUGGGUAGACCACUAUUUCGAAACAAAAAUAAGUUGACAUUUGCAUUCAACAAUUUUUUUUUAAAGAAGUCUAAAUGAUUUAUCAAUUCCAUUUCAACUGUCAUUAAUUUGGUUUUUUUUUCAAUAUUGCUUUCUAAUCAUGAGAUUUAUUUCAAAAACAGAUAACUAGCAUCCUUCAGAAGUGUUAGAUUUCAAGGAGAAUAUAAAUAAAUAUUGCAUGGCCAUCCACUAUUAGAGAAAUGCGAAACGAUUAAUGAUUUCAAGUAUGUGUGAAUAAAUUUAAAAGUCCCCAAUGAGUUUUUAAAAAUAGAUUGAAAACAUAAAUAUAUUGUUAUGUAACACAUAUUGCGUGUUAAUAGGAUAGCAAUUAUAUGUCGAUCAAUUGAGAGUCUAUCAAAUUAAACUGGUCACAUGACAUCACUGUACUUAUCCUUUGAAGUUGGAAGAUGAUUUUAUUUUCACUCAUAACUAGCAAUUUUAUAAGGAUCAAUUCUUUUAUUUUGAAACUAAAAUACAUUUAUAUUGUUUUCUCAUCCUAAAUUAAAUAAUUUAUCUUUCUUUAUUUUUAAAUGUUACAAAGUAUAACAGGUCACACAGUUAAAAGUUGCUUAAGUUACAAAUAUAGAAAGGGAUUUCCCCCAAAGUUGAAAUUUGUAUUUUAAAGAUUCAUCAUAGAUUGCAAGAUAUUUUCUGCUGGAGUAUAAAAAAGUACAAAAAGGGGAAAUUUUAUCCAAUGUUUUAUUUUAAAUCAUUCUUUUAUGUUAUUUGUAAACUGUUUUACCAUAUGAUAACAGAUGAUAAAGACCCUGUAUGAGUGUAUUUUAUUCAUGGGGCAGACGUUAUAAUUCACAGACUGGUUAGAGGAAAGUGAAUAUAGCCGGUGUACGCAAUGAAUUUACCCGUAGAUCUCUUUGUUUUACUACUAUAUUGUUAGCCUGGAAUCAUUUCCUGGGUAUUACAUAAGUGCUAUUAUUAGAUUGUUGUUAUUUGUUGACUUCGUUGAACCAUGAUAUGUAAUGGAUUUGUUGAGGGGUUAAAACCUCCAAUACUUUUGAAAUACUUACAAAGUAUUUCAUUAAUGUAGUUGUGUCAAAUAAAAAAAAGAUUUUUAUCACAA